CAAAUUGAAUACUUAUAGAAGUAAAUUCAUUUACAUUGAAUUUUAUGUUGUGCAAUUCAAUACAAUUUGA
rnacentral:tRNA from 1 species